CAGAACUGCUGGUCGCCAUACUUAUAGCACUCAGGUCUCCAACAACUCCGAAGAGCUUCGGGCAUUGGACAUGCGUAAUAGCAACCAACGCUAACCAGGUAAUCACGACCGUAACGACGAAAUCGCACGUCGAGAAGAGAUACGCGCAGUGAGCGUACGCCAAGAUUGGAGUUUUGUCAGGCAGGGGCGGCGAAGUCCCUGGGGGAACAUGACAGAAAGGCGUGAAUGACUGUCACGUUCACAAGGAACCUACCGACGGCAUAAUUUCCGUGCUAUUGGAAAGACUUUGUGCUAACUCUCCUAGGAUAGUCAUGAUAGGUACUUGCAUGGGCGCUGUACGUAACAUAGAAGUGACAGUUUAUUCGAUUAUAGUUCAUGUGCACA